rnacentral:rRNA from 1 species
CGUUAGCGGCGGACGGGUGAGUAACACGUGGGUAACCUACCUAUAAGACUGGGACAACUUCGGGAAACCGGAGCUAAUACCGGAUAAUAUGUUGAACCGCAUGGUUCAAUAGUGAAAGAUGGUUUUGCUAUCACUUAUAGAUGGACCCGCGCCGUAUUAGCUAGUUGGUGAGGUAACGGCUCACCAAGGCAACGAUACGUAGCCGACCUGAGAGGGUGAUCGGCCACACUGGAACUGAGACACGGUCCAG